rnacentral:lncRNA from 1 species
CUGGGGUUGGCAGGGAGCUUGCUCUCCUUCUCGGAGGGCCGGAGCAGCGUGGGGCCAAAGACAGUGGUGAAGUUGUGCAGGGAUAUCUUAUUGACCACCUCCUUCUCUGCCACCCUGUAGAGGACCGAAGCAGAGGGUGCUGUUUCAACGCCACCACCAGGAGAGAGGCAGAGGGGCUGUGCCGUGCUAGAGUCCUCAGGGAGGGAGUGACCUCGACCCUGGCUGUGCUGCAAGCUGACUCCAGCCUUGGGGUCAGCAGCACCCGGUGAACAGCAGCAGGAGGAGCCGCUAGAGCAGCUGCUCAUGGGCAGAGCUGCCCUUGGACAACUCCUGCCACCACCCCCUCCCCAGGGAGCCCAAGGCAGGGGAGGCUCAGCAUGGAAUGAAACAGGGGAGUGAGGGACACAAGGAGGUGGGAAGUGGGAGGGUCCCAGCCCCACCAAGUACGCAGAGACCCCCUCGUCGUCCUGGACACCACAGGGGCACCUGCAGGCUGGGAGACCAGGUCCUCUGUGCAUGGGCCCGGGAGGCAGACCUGCCCUAAGGGUGAUGCAGAGGCCACAGGUGCUGCACGCACCAGCACCCACUCUAGACAUCAGCCUCCAGGUUGACUAAGGGUCAGGUCAUGUUUGAAACCAUGCUUGGCUGGACCAGGACCCAUGGCAAGAGCACCUGGGCACCAGUGUUUAGCCCUGGUCUGCAGGAAGGAGGACAGCAGACUUUAGGACCCCACAGCACGGCAGUGCUGACCAUUUCACCCACUUGGCCUCCUUGAGGAAUAGGGAUGGGGAGCCCUCUGGGGAUGAGCAAGGCCUUCCAGGACAGGCUCGGUUCUGGUCCCCUGCUUUUUGAGGUUGGGUUAAAAUGCCGACCAUGGCAGAGGGGUCACAGCUCAGGUUCCCACACCUCACUUUUCACAGCCUCCGAGGGCAGCAGUGCACAUGGAGGAGACGUCUCCCACGAGGCCAAGGCCUCCAGUGCUCACCGAUGCCCUCUGCGAAGGUGGGGUAGAACUCGUCAGUGAAGAGGGGCUCGGGCAGCUCACGGAGGUACAGCUUCAGCGUGCCUGCGAUGGCGUUCACGUCCGUCUCGCUCAUCAUCACCGACAUGUCCUUGUUAUCUGGAAAGAGCACGGAAAUGCAGCAGCCUCCUUGAAGAUCCUGAUAAAUGAAGAAAAGACACAGAGAAGGAUGUGACAUGCCUGGGCCAUGGAGCACUCUGAGAUCUCAUCGCGGACACCACUGCCCACACCUCCAUUCCGUCCUGCGCAGGCCGACACUCACUGGCGUCGAAGGCUGCCUUCAGUGCCUGGAUGUCUGCGGCCACACCGGCCGGACACGCGGUAGAUGCCCACCUCCUCCAUGCCUCGGCGCUCGAUCUCCUCCACGCACUGGCGCACGAUGUAGGGCACCUUGGACCUCUCUCUCCUGCAGGAGGAGGGAAUGCUCUCAGUGUCCUAACAGCCCUGCUUGGGCCAGAACACAGAGACCUGCUCCCUAUCUGCACACCCGGAGGUGGGGUGAGGACGGUGACGAAGGUACCCAGGUCUGGGGCUGCACACAGAGCCUUCUGCAUGCCUGUCCUCCCUCUGCAAGCUCUGUCCUCAUUGCAUGUACUUUCUCAGGAACCUUUCAAGCGGCCAGAACCCCUGCAAAUCACACAUGACCUUUGCGGGAAGGUCGGGAGGCCUGUCUAAGUCAAGUCAGCACGGGAAGGGCAUCUGACAGAUUCCAGGCCUGGGGUUAGCAGCCUGUGCCCCCGGCUGGGAGAUCAGACCCGGUGUUGGUCCUGCCACCCACGUGCUGUGUGAGAGGAGAAUCCCUGACCCCUGCCCUGGGCCUGGGCCUUAACACACAUCCGACGAAUGAAUGAAGGGUUGCCUCAGCACCGGUGCUCCAAGUCCUGUGAUGCUAAGUGCUUUUCUCCUCCGAGUCUUAGCAAUGGACAAUUCCAAUACCUCCACACAGGACACUAGAGUAAGAAUCCUUCACAGUUAGAACGCAGUGCUGUGCGGAGGCCUUAACUUGAGUUCUGUUUUGCACCUGGAUUUACCAGCACAUCAAAGCUGCUUCGCAAGCCCCCUCAUUAGCAGGGCUUAUCUGGGGGAGCUGCUGAUGGAGUCCUCGCUGCUCAUGCCCACAGCCCUCCCAGAGUGCUAUGCGAGUGGCUGCCGUGCAGUUGGGGGUGGGGUGUGGUGUUUAGACACAGAUGGGAGUCCAGGGUAUGACUGAUGGAGGCCCCGGCCCACGUGACCAGCAAGGUCAGAGGCCCAGCCAGAUUCCAUCCUGGGGAAGCAAAUGAAUUCUCAGAGGAAGUGGUCUGUGUCUGCAUGAACUGCUCUCAAACCAACAAACAGGCUUCUCUUGGCAACUGACUCAUGACAAAGGAUUCAAGAUUGUUUGAAAAAAAAAAAAGGGAGCAGGGAGGCAGAAAGUCCUGGAAAAGUAAAUUGUUUAUUUUACAAUAAGAAAGUGAUUACAUAUUUUUUUUUUACAAUGGUGGAAAAUUAGAAGUCAUUGUGAAAAUGAUGUCUACCCACCUUGCUGAUGAGUAGGAUGUGAUUUGGCUCUUUAGGAAACUGAAUUUGCAGAACUUAAGAAUAUUGAUUUAUAAAGGGCAUGGCCAUUGACCCAGUCCAUCUUAUGCAAAUCUGGAUGCCAUAAAUAAUAUUCAAAAAUGAAAGUAUUGGGGUGGAGGUUGCAGUGAGCAGAGAUUGCCCCCGCUACACUCCAGCCUGGUCGACACAGUGAACUCUGUCUCAAAAAAAAAAAAAAAGAAAAGAAAGAAGAAGCCAUUCCCAACGUUGCUCAUCAAAUUAUGACCAUAAAUUUCCAGGAUCAGAGUAACGGCUAAAGAGACUGAUGCAUCAACACCAGGCAGAGAAUAAAGCAGAUUUUUUUGUUGUUGUUCUGGAGAGCUUCUAGGAACUUGAAAAAUACAUAUGCCACACUCUUAAGACCCGGUGGUUCUUAAUCAGGGAUGUUCAUUAAAAUGCUGGAAAACUGUAAAGACUUCCAGGUCCCAUCCAAGGAGAUUUUGCUUCUGAUUGACUGGCUAGUGGCCUGGCCAUUGGUAUUUUGAAAAAUCCCUCCAAGUGAUUCUUUUACAUCCCAGAUAGAAAACCCUAAAUUAAAGGUGAAAAAACCAGACACCAAGUGGCAUUUAAAUAAAUGUCAACUUUAACUCCACAAAGCAUCUGGUUGCAUGUGGACAGAAAGAGAAGGAAAGAGGGCCCUAUAUCUGGAUAACUUGGAAAUGUGCUCCCCCUAGCAAGAUAUCUACCAAAAUUAAAACCAUAUUUGAGGAUGCUGGCACUGCGAGUAAUAUAUAAAUGAUGCAUGUAACGUCAUUUAAUAUGAUCUUAUUUUUAAAAAUGAGUAGAGUGGUGUUUUCUAGCUGUUAGUUUUUCCAAAUAUCAAUAUAGAAAUUUGCCUUCUGCAGCUGCAGAGGCAAUUCAGUUUGCAGCUUGCUUGCAUGUGGCCUAGAGCCAUAACAUGGCCCAGGGCAUCUCUGAUCCACCCCUCCCACAACCACCAAAGCCAGAGACAACCAAAUGCCUUGGGCCAUCUGGUGAGAGAGGUAGCUGCAUGGCAGUAAGAGUCCUGCUCUGAAGUAACAAGAGCCUUAAGGCCUAGUUUUGACUUACUGCUAACUUGCUGACACUGCAC